rnacentral:rRNA from 1 species
UACGUAGGGGCCUAGCGUUGUCCGGAUUUAUUGGGCGUAAAGAGCUCGUAGGCGGUUUGGUGAGUCGGGUGUGAAAUCUCCACGCUCAACGUGGAGGGGCCACCCGAUACUGCCAUGACUAGAGUCCGGUAGGGGAGUGUGGAAUUCCCGGUGUAGCGGUGAAAUGCGCAGAUAUCGGGAGGAACACCAGUGGCGAAGGCGGCAUCCUGGACCGGCAUUGACGCUGAGGCGCGAAAGCCAGGGGAGCAAACGGG